rnacentral:pre_miRNA from 7 species
UUCCAAAAUAUCUGAAAGACCCCCGAAGGGAGACCCUCACUCAAGCCUCGGGACAGCCGCGGACCCAAGAAGACACUGAGACCG